UACAGAGGGGGCAAGCGUUGUUCGGAAUCACUGGGCGUAAAGGGCGCGUAGGUGGCGGCCCAAGUCCGUGGUGAAAGCUCGCCGCUUAACGGCGAGUCGGCCACGGAGACUGGGUGGCUCGAGCACUGUAGGGGCAGAUGGAAUUCCGGGUGUAGCGGUGGAAUGCGUAGAGAUCCGGAAGAACACCAGUGGCGAAGGCGGUCUGCUGGGCAGUUGCUGACACUGAGGCGCGACAGCGUGGGGAGCAAACAGG
rnacentral:rRNA from 1 species